rnacentral:rRNA from 1 species
UACGGAGGGAGCUAGCGUUGUUCGGAAUUACUGGGUGUAAAGCGCACGUAGGCGGCUUUGUAAGUUAGAGGUGAAAGCCCGGGGCUCAACCCCGGAAUUGCCUUUAAGACUGCAUCGCUUGAAUCCAGGAGAGGUGAGUGGAAUUCCGAGUGUAGAGGUGAAAUUCGUAGAUAUUCGGAAGAACACCAGUGGCGAAGGCGGCUCACUGGACUGGUAUUGACGCUGAGGUGCGAAAGCGUGGGGAGCAAACAGG